UCCCGAUGAUCCUGAUGGUGUGCCUCUUGCCUCCCCAGUGUGUUUACUGAUCCAGCUCCAGGGCCAUCGCCAUGUCAAGCAGGGGCGGGAAGAAGAAGUCCACCAAAACCUCCAGGUCUGCCAAGGCAGGAGUCAUCUUCCCUGUGGGGCGGAUGCUGCGGUACAUCAAGAAAGGCCACCCCAAGUACAGGAUUGGAGUGGGGGCGCCCGUGUACAUGGCUGCUGUCCUGGAGUACCUGACAGCGGAGAUUUUGGAGCUGGCUGGCAACGCGGCCAGGGACAACAAGAAGGGACGGGUCACACCCCGGCACAUCCUGCUGGCCGUGGCCAAUGAUGAGGAGCUAAAUCAGCUACUAAAAGGAGUCACCAUAGCCAGUGGCGGGGUGUUACCAAACAUCCACCCAGAGUUGCUAGCAAAGAAACGAGGAUCCAAAGGGAAGUUGGAAGCCAUCAUCACGCCACCCCCAGCCAAAAAGGCCAAGUCUCCAUCCCAGAAGAAGCCAGUGUCAAAGAAAGCUGGAGGCAAGAAAGGGGCCCGGAAAUCCAAGAAGAAGCAGGGAGAAGUCAGCAAGGCAGCCAGUGCCGACAGCACGACCGAAGGCACGCCCGCUGAUGGCUUCACAGUUCUCUCCACCAAGAGCCUCUUCCUCGGCCAGAAGCUGAACCUUAUUCACAGUGAAAUCAGUAAUUUAGCCGGCUUUGAGGUGGAGGCCAUAAUCAAUCCUACCAAUGCUGACAUUGACCUUAAAGAUGACCUAGUUGCAAGUUGUACAGGCUGACAUUGCCUCGAUCGACAGUGAUGCUGUCGUUCACCCGACAAACAAUGACUUCUACACCGGUGGUGAAGAAACACGCUGGAGAAGAAAGGAGGCAAGGAGUUUGUGGAAGCUGUCCUGGAGCUCCGGAAAAAGAAUGGGCCCUUGGAAGUGGCUGGAGCUGCUGUCAGUGCAGGACAUGGCCUGCCCGCCAAGUUUGUGAUCCACUGUAACAGCCCAGUCUGGGGUGCAGACAAAUGUGAGGAGCUGCUGGAGAAGACAGUGAAAAACUGCUUGGCUCUGGCAGAUGAUAAGAAGCUGAAGUCCAUCGCGUUUCCAUCCAUCGGCAGUGGCAGGAACGGUUUUCCAAAGCAGACAGCAGCUCAGCUGAUUCUGAAGGCCAUCUCCAAUUACUUCGUGUCAACAAUGUCCUCUUCCAUCAAAACAGUGUAUUUCGUGCUUUUUGACAGCGAGAGUAUAGGCAUCUACGUGCAGGAAAUGGCCAAGCUGGAUGCCAACUAGGCUGAGGAACUACGAACCGCACCGUGCCCCCUGCCUCCAAUUUGAAAGAAAGAAAAAAAAAACAAAAAAAAAACCCUUCACUCCUACUGGGAGGCGGGAACCCUUUCGUUUUCAAUUUUGCUCAUCUAGGGAAAAUAAGGUUUUGGUUUCCAGUUUAAUUGUUUCGACCUAAAAUGUUUUCACGUUAGCACUGAUAGUUGGCAUUACUGUUGUUAAGCACUGUGUUCCAGACUGUGUCUGACUUGAGUGUGACCUAGGAGAUUUUAUUGUUUUAUUUUAAUGAAGCCCUGCUUGCCACAGAGCAGCCGGGAGAGCAGCGUCCACCACGGGUGGCAGAACCCAGGAAGCCCGCUUUGUAACCGUGUGUCGUGGUGCUUUGUUGUACACCCAGUGGCGUUCUUUUUGCUAUAAUGUUCCUUUUUUCCUCAAGAAGAAAAAUCAUGACUAUACCGCAGACUUAAUUUUUGUUUACUUUUUUGUCUUAAUGAUGGAUUUGAAAAUGGAAGAUUUAAAAGGCAGAACAGAAUCUGUUGCCCUUAAUUAUAUUUGGAAUUUGUGUGAAUUGAUUUAGUAAAAUGUUAAACUGUU